rnacentral:lncRNA from 10 species
GAGGGGAAGAUAAUUCAUAUGGAGCAUCACACCAGCUAUCUCCUGCUCCCUGUCCUGCACUGCAAAGGAGGCCUUUUCAUCCUCUCUACUGCCUCCAAUUUUUCUCACGAGGAAUGUGAGAGGAAAACCUAGAGCUUGUUCCUGAAGCAUGGUGCUAAGUCCAUAUGCAGCAGAUGGAGCUCAUGAGAAAAGAGUUGCUCUUGUGAAGACCAAAGCUUGGUGAGGUGUCAGAUCCCCGGCGAUGGAAAGCAGUCAACUCAUGGGUAGUAAAAAGAAUGUAUUGACAACACUAUAGGUUUGAAAAGGAAAGUUUUAUUAGAUGGAAAGAACAGUGCAGAAGACCGCAGCAGAGGACCUCAGCAAGAGAGAACUAAUUUGUCAGUUUCAAAUACUCAUGUAUCUGAUUGUCAAUGCUGGAGAGCUGGGGCCAGGGCAGUAGUUGAUGAAUAUCACCUGACUGUCUCCUGCAGAAAAAGCAUUCCCAGAAGCACGGAGAAGUGAGGAGAAAAGGCAAUGCACCUGGAGCUGGAGACCAAGGCCCUGUUCUUACUGAUGGCCCUUGGAGCAGAUAUUUGAAUUGGAGAGAUAAAACCGUGGUUUUUGGGGUGUUAAUUUUGGUGGCUGAUGCAUUCUGUGAUUGAUUUGGCUAUUACAACUGGUAUUGAUUUUAAACACAUUAAUUGCAAAAUCUCAAUUGUGAUUUGAUUUCUGUAUUUACAAUACUAAAAACGAGGCUUUCGCCAGGAGAAGACAAUUGGCAGUACUCAGUUGGAAGUGCUUAAUUGUUAAUAUAUAUCAGCCGUGGUUCUUCAGCGUCGUCAGUGUUGCUCAGUCUUGCUCUUUGUGGCGACUACUGAAUGCUUGAAAAAUUCUCUCCUAUACUCCCACUCUGCACUGUAGAAGAGAAAGAGAGGAGAGUGGAAGAAAAAAGAGAGGGAGAGGAGAAAGAAAGAGAGGAGAGAGAAACAUGGGCAUGGAUGAUACAUAAGGUAGUUGUAAACUGUGAUCAGCUUUGAUAAUAACUAGAUAAAUUCUUUUAAUACAAAAAUAUAUAAGGCAUUUUGCCUUUUUUUCAAAUUUCAAAUAAAUGGAUUUGUAUAGAA